AACGAACGCUGGCGGCAGGCCUAAAACAUGCAAGUCGAACGAUCUAGCAAUAGAUAGUGGCGCACGGGUGAGUAACACGUGGGAAUAUCCCUUUCACUACGGAACAACGUCGGGAAACUGACGCUAAUACCGUAUAAUGUCUCCGGACCAAAGAUUUAUCGGUGAAAGAUUAGCCCGCGUCUGAUUAGCUAGUUGGUGAGGUAACGGCUCACCAAGGCAACGAUCAGUAGCUGGUCUGAGAGGAUGAUCAGCCACACUGGAACUGAGACACGGUCCAGACGCCUACGGGAGGAAGCAGUUAGGAAUAUUGGACAAUGGGGGCAACCCUGAUCCAGCCAUGCCGCGUGUGUGACGAAGGCCUUAGGGUUGUAAAGCACUUUCGUCUACGAAGAUAAUGACAGUAGUAGAAGAAGAAGCUCCGGCUAAAUUCGUGCCAGCCGCCGCCGUAA
rnacentral:rRNA from 1 species